rnacentral:rRNA from 1 species
AGUCGUACACGGUUUCCGUAGGUGAACCUGCGGAAGGAUCAUUACCGAACUGUCGACACGAGUUGCUGCUGGCCCACAAAUGGGGGCAUGUGCACGCUCUGUUUACACAUCCACUCACACCUGUGCACCCUCUGUAGUUCUAUGGCCUGGGGGACUCUGUCCUCUUGCYGUGGUCCUACGUCUUUACACACACACCGUAAUAAAGUCUCAUGGAAUGCAUGUCGCGUUUAACGCAAUACAAUACAACUUUCAGCAACGGAUCUCUUGGCUCUCGCAUCGAUGAAGAACGCAGCGAAAUGCGAUAAGUAAUGUGAAUUGCAGAAUUCAGUGAAUCAUCGAAUCUUUGAACGCACCUUGCGCCCUUUGGCUAUUCCGAAGGGCAUGCCUGUUUGAGUAUCAUGAACACCUCAACUCUCAUGGUUUGCCAUGAUGAGCUUGGACUUUGGGGGUCUUGCUGGCCUGCGGUCGGCUCCUCUCAAAUCGAUCAGCUUGCCAGUGUUUGGUGGCAUCGCAGGUGUGAUAACUAUCUACGCUUGUGGUUUUCCACCAGGUAACCUUCAGUGAUGGAGGUUCGCUGGAGCUCAUAAAUGUGUCUCUCCUCAGCGAGGACAGCUUUUUGAACGUUUGAUCUCAAAUCAGGCAGGACUACCCGCUGAACUUAACCUAUCA